UUUAAGUGUAUUUUUAGUAAGAAAAAUAUCAUAAUUCUCAGUCUAUUAGUUUUUUCUUCUGCAUUAUUUUUUUAAUAAAAUAUAAAAAAAUAUUUUUAUGAAAAAGCUAAUAUAUUUUUUUUGGUUGACCAUUUUUUCCCCUCCUUUUUGACCAAACAAGUCCCUGGCCUUUUACGCCACGAGACUGACAAUAAACAACGACCUAGCCUAGUGGUACGUGGUCGCUAGCAUCUCUUUUUCGCACCUUUCAAAAAGAAUGGAUGAGAAAAUUUUCUAUUUUUGCAGAUAAAAUGGCACAUUUGAGUGGGCAUCAUCCAAAAUUCCUUUUUUCCUAGAUAAUAAUAAUGCACCUAGAUUACAAUAACACAAGAAAUUUAGAACCUGUUUAGUGUUAUUAC
rnacentral:lncRNA from 1 species